UCCGCCUCGGUGAGGGAGUUGAUCCUAGAUCGCGCUGGAACACGGCAACAGCGAAUACAUACAGUAUUCUUAUAUAUAUAUAUAUAAAAAAAAAAACACAAAAAGAAACGGAUGUGCCUCCGAAAACGAAACGGAUACCGUCCUCCUGAUAAUUUUAAUGCAAAAAUUGAGAGGUCCGUGGCCAAAGGGGGGAUGACAUGCAUGUUCCCAGGCUGUUAACAUCGCUGAGGAUUAUAGGACCAAUAGACUGCCAAGAGCUGUCAAACCAUGAUGGACAUACUGUACACAGGCCCUGUCCCGGCAGACGGCGAAUCUCCGAUGGCUGUCAGCGAGAUGUCGCCUAGCCGGGCUCAACAGCAGCCCAACUCCCAGAGACCCAACACAUGCUGCUUCUGCUGGUGCUGCUGCUGUAGCUGCUCAUGUCUCACUGUUAGGAAUGAAGAGGACAGAAGGAGGAAAUCCCUGGAAACACGCUUGGAGACCAUACCAAACUGUGAAGCUUGCACCAAACCAACAUUAGAGGAGAUAAGGGUCUGGGCUCAGUCAUUCGAUAAGCUGAUGAAGAAUCCUGCAGGUCGGAACGUGUUCAGGGAGUUCCUCCGUACCGAGUACAGCGAGGAGAACAUGUUGUUCUGGCUGGCCUGUGAAGACCUCAAACAGGAGAUGAACAAGAACACAGUGGAUGAGAAGGCACGCAUGAUCUACGAGGACUACAUCUCUAUCCUCUCCCCCAAAGAGGUGAGUCUGGACUCCCGGGUGAGAGAGGUGAUUAACAGGAAGAUACAGGAGCCCACGCCCCACACCUUUGAGGACGCCCAGCUUCAGAUCUACACCUUAAUGCACAGAGACUCCUAUCCUCGCUUCCUCAACUCGUCUAUAUACAGAUCACUGGUUCACCCGGGCUCCCACACCUCCUCAGAGUCAUAGGUUCACCCGGGCUCAGACACCUCCUCAGAGUCAUAGGUUCACCCGGGCUCAGACACCUCCUCAGAGUCAUAGGUUCACCCGGGCUCCCAAACCUCCGAGUCAUAGGUUCACCCG